UAAAUCACAAGAAAUUAAGCCAAAUCAAGGGAAAUGAAGCUAGGAAAUUGGGGCUUUAACUAAAAUCAUGAUCACCCAGCUUAGGGGAUCACAAGUUGACUCUAAACAAGCUAGGUGGGAGCUUGGAAAGUAACGGGUCAAACGGAUCAUGGAUGCGAAGAAUGUUUGUGCGGACGCGAAGUACAUUUUGGAUGCCGGAAGACGAUCAAGCUCAACGAAGAACCGAACACGAUAAAGAUACAUGCUUCCGCACAUUGCCUCGUCGUAAAUUUUAAACGACGAAUUCGAUUACGCUAUGUUGAAUAACUUAUGAUUUGUAAAGUUUUAACGAACCCGUAUUUUUCAAUGUAUUGAAAUCUUAAUUACCCGUAGACUACACAUCUAAUUGUUGGUAUUUACAUGUAAAACCGCUUAAAUAGUAA